UCCCAUUAGGGUUUUAAUUUGUAGAUUAGGGUUUCAUUUAGGGGUGUGGUUCUAGAUUUCCAAGUUCUCUAAGUUUUUUUCUGGUUUUUGUUUGUUUUACAGAGAUGGCGCAAACUGAAGGAGUAAAAGGUCGAAGCUUGUUGCUAGUUUUGGUGUUUUGACAAAAUUGUGGUCGGAUGUACACCAACACGUGUGUACAUAUGAACAACCAUGAUUUUGUACAUGUGUACACGCGUGUAUAUGUACAUAAUAAGUAAUGUUGAUAUGAGUAUUCUUGUUUAUAGGUUGGCAUGUAUAUGUUGUGUUUGUUGGUGUAGGAGCCGGUGCAUAUGAACAAUAUCCAUGUGUACACCGAUGUAAUGAUAUUCACAUGUACACAAAAAUGUAAACUUUCCAAGAAUAUAGCAAUACCAAUCUACUCCAUUGCAAAUUCAAUUUUAUUUUUUAUUCGAAUACUUUCUACAUUGAGAACCAUUUAAAACAUUAUUAUAAACUGGAUCACAUAUUUCAUUGAUGGGGUGGAUUUAUAUUAUUUAAACCAAUCAUCUGUAUAGUGAGUGAAAUAAGUGUACACAAGGGAAUGUGUACAUAUGGACAUUAGAAAAAGUGUGAACAUAUGGACAAUCGAGAGAGUGUGUACAUAUGGACAUUAGAGAUCGAGAAC
rnacentral:lncRNA from 1 species